GACGAACGCUGGCGGCGUACUUAACACAUGCAAGUCGAACGGUGACCUCGGAGCUUGCUCCGAGCGAUCAGUGGCGAACGGGUGAGUAACACGUGAGUAACCUGCCCCUGGCUCUGGGAUAACCCCGGGAAACCGAGGCUAAUACCGGAUACGACACAGACAGGCAUCUGUACUGUGUGGAAAGUUUUUCGGCCAGGGAUGGACUCGCGGCCUAUCAGCUUGUUGGUGGGGUAACGGCCCACCAAGGCGACGACGGGUAGCCGGCCUGAGAGGGCGACCGGCCACACUGGGACUGAGACACGGCCCAGACUCCUACGGGAGGCAGC
rnacentral:rRNA from 1 species